UACGGAGGGGGCUAGCGUUAUUCGGAAUUACUGGGCGUUAAGCGCACGUAGGCGGCUUUGUAAGUCAGAGGUGAAAGCCUGGAGCUCAACUCCAGAACUGCCUUUGAGACUGCAUCGCUUGAAUCCAGGAGAGGUGAGUGGAAUUCCGAGUGUAGAGGUGAAAUUCGUAGAUAUUCGGAAGAACACCAGUGGCGAAGGCGGCUCACUGGACUGGUAUUGACGCUGAGGCGCGAAAGCGUGGGUAGCAAACAGG
rnacentral:rRNA from 1 species